rnacentral:rRNA from 1 species
AGAGUUUGAUCCUGGCUCAGGAUGAACGCUAGCUACAGGCUUAACACAUGCAAGUCGAGGGGAAACGACAUCGAAAGCUUGCUUUUGAUGGGCGUCGACCGGCGCACGGGUGAGUAACGCGUAUCCAACCUGCCCACCACUUGGGGAUAACCUUGCGAAAGUAAGACUAAUACCCAAUGAUAUCUCUAGAAGACAUCUGAAAGAGAUUAAAGAUUUAUCGGUGAUGGAUGGGGAUGCGUCUGAUUAGCUUGUUGGCGGGGUAACGGCCCACCAAGGCAACGAUCAGUAGGGGUUCUGAGAGGAAGGUCCCCCACAUUGGAACUGAGACACGGUCCAAACUCCUACGGGAGGCAGCAGUGAGGAAUAUUGGUCAAUGGGCGAGAGCCUGAACCAGCCAAGUAGCGUGCAGGAAGACGGCCCUAUGGGUUGUAAACUGCUUUUAUAAGGGAAUAAAGUGAGAGUCGUGACUCUUUUUGCAUGUACCUUAUGAAUAAGGACCGGCUAAUUCCGUGCCAGCAGCCGCGGUAAUACGGAAGGUCCGGGCGUUAUCCGGAUUUAUUGGGUUUAAAGGGAGCGUAGGCCGGAGAUUAAGCGUGUUGUGAAAUGUAGACGCUCAACGUCUGCACUGCAGCGCGAACUGGUUUCCUUGAGUACGCACAAAGUGGGCGGAAUUCGUGGUGUAGCGGUGAAAUGCUUAGAUAUCACGAAGAACUCCGAUUGCGAAGGCAGCUCACUGGAGCGCAACUGACGCUGAAGCUCGAAAGUGCGGGUAUCGAACAGGAUUAGAUACCCUGGUAGUCCGCACGGUAAACGAUGGAUGCCCGCUGUUGGUCUGAACAGGUCAGCGGCCAAGCGAAAGCAUUAAGCAUCCCACCUGGGGAGUACGCCGGCAACGGUGAAACUCAAAGGAAUUGACGGGGGCCCGCACAAGCGGAGGAACAUGUGGUUUAAUUCGAUGAUACGCGAGGAACCUUACCCGGGCUUGAAUUGCAGAGGAAGGAUUUGGAGACAAUGACGCCCUUCGGGGUCUCUGUGAAGGUGCUGCAUGGUUGUCGUCAGCUCGUGCCGUGAGGUGUCGGCUUAAGUGCCAUAACGAGCGCAACCCCUCUCCUUAGUUGCCAUCAGGUUGAGCUGGGCACUCUGGGGACACUGCCACCGUAAGGUGUGAGGAAGGUGGGGAUGACGUCAAAUCAGCACGGCCCUUACGUCCG